rnacentral:rRNA from 1 species
AUGAACGCUGGCGGCGUGCCUAAUACAUGCAAGUCGAGCGAACAGACGAGGAGCUUGCUCCUCUGACGUUAGCGGCGGACGGGUGAGUAACACGUGGAUAACCUACCUAUAAGACUGGGAUAACUUCGGGAAACCAGAGCUAAUACCGGAUAAUAUAUUGAACCGCAUGGUUCAAUAGUGAAAGACGGUUUUGCUGUCACUUAUAGAUGGAUCCGCGCCGCAUUAGCUAGUUGGUAAGGUAACGGCUUACCAAGGCGACGAUGCGUAGCCGACCUGAGAGGGUGAUCGGCCACACUGGAACUGAGACACGGUCCAGACUCCUACGGGAGGCAGCAGUAGGGAAUCUUCCGCAAUGGGCGAAAGCUUGACGGAGCAACGCCGCGUGAGUGAUGAAGGUCUUCGGAUCGUAAAACUCUGUUAUUAGGGAAGAACAAAUGUGUAAGUAACUAUGCACGUCUUGACGGUACCUAAUCAGAAAGCCACGGCUAACUACGUG